AACGAACGCUGGCGGCAUGCCUAACACAUGCAAGUCGAACGGGAUCCGAGCUUCGGUUCGGUGAGAGUGGCGGACGGGUGAGUAACGCGUGGGAACCUGCCCAGUGGUGGGGGGAUAACUGCGGGAAACUACAGCUAAUACCGCAUGAGCCCGAGAGGGGAAAGAUUUAUCGCCAUUGGAGGGGCCCGCGUUCGAUUAGGUAGUUGGUGAGGUAACGGCUCACCAAGCCUUCGAUCGAUAGCUGGUCUGAGAGGAUGAUCAGCCACACUGGGACUGAGAUACGGCCCAGACUCCUACGGGAGGCAGCAGUGGGGAAUAUUGGACAAUGGGGGGCAACCCUGAUCCAGCAAUGCCGCGUGAGUGAUGAAGGCCUUCGGGUUGUAAGGACUCUUUUGUCCAGGGACGGAUGAUGACGGUACCUGGAGGAAUAAGACCCCGGCGUAACUUCGUGCCAGCAGCCGCGGUAAU
rnacentral:rRNA from 1 species